rnacentral:rRNA from 1 species
UACGGAGGGUGCGAACGUUAAUCGGAAUUACUGGGCGUAAAGCGCGCGUAGGCGGUUCGGCAAGUGGGAUGUGAAAGCCCCGGGCUUAACCUGGGAAUUGCGUUCCAAACUACCGGGCUAGAGUAUGGUAGAGGGAGGUAGAAUUUCCUGUGUAGCGGCGAAAUGCGUAGAGAUAGGAAGGAAUACCGGUGGCGAAGGCGGCCUCCUGGACCAAUACUGACGAUGAGGUGCGAAAGAGUGGGGAGCAAACAGG